AGCCUCUGAACUUUUAAAGUGCUCAGCUGUCCCAAACAGUCACAUGGACGCUUACACACACACACGCACACACACCCACACAUGCACAUACAGACUCAGGGCUGGGCCGGGUUGGGCCUAUUGGCAUUACUCAUCCAAAAUCUCCCACCUGUUGAAGCCUCAUUUGGAAAGUUCAGCAUGUAAAGCACUGAACAACAGAGCUGGCAGAAAAAGACAGAAAGUGUCCCAACAAGUUUGGAGCUGCGGAGACGCCGCCUGAUGGCACUGAGGACGUGAGACCACCUCACUCUGAGAAGAAGUGGACUCAAGUUUCACGAGCCAUCUGCUGGAUCACACUCUGAAUAUCUGGAGGAACUGGACCUCGACUGACCGAGCGACACCAUGGCUCAUUAUGACCUGUAAGUUCAGUCUGCAGACGGGACCAGGGAAGGACCAAGCUGCCUGAUGAUGGAUGACAAGGACUCUGUGGAUAUUCAUGACCACCCGCCGCUCCCUGAUAAUGUGGUGAAAGAGGAGGACAACACGGUG